ACAAAAAAGUAUAUUUUUUCUAAAUGUUUUCCACAAAAUUUGGACGUAUUAGCGUGGUUGGCUUCCAGGGGUGGGUUUUAUGCUCACUGUUCACAGCUGAUGGUGAUUUGGCUUGAUGCUGGAUGCACGCACCUGCCAGCACUCCCAAUUAAGACGGAGGGAGGUUCAUCCUGCCAGAAGAACAGCUUCGGAGUGUUGCACACUAUUGGUUGGAUUGGGAUUCAAGCCUUGGGGAGAGACACUUGUUGGGAUUAACACAUUUGCAACGGACCACCUUUUUACCGUUCACGUCGUCACAGAUUUAAUCACUGUACCUUUUUUGUAAAUAAACUGUGUUGAUUGACUGAG